UUNGUUUUUUANUUGAAAGCUGGAAUGAAUGAUUGGACGAGAAAAUUACUGUCUCAAUUUAAUUUUAUUAGAAUUUUAUUUUUAAGUAAAAAAGCUUAAAUUAYAUUAAAAGACGAGAAGACCCUAUAGAGUUUUAUAUUUAAUUUAUUAUUAAUUUUUUAGUAUAUUUUUAUUAUUAUUAAAUUAAAUAUUUUAUUGGGGUGAUAGAAAAAUAUUAUAAACUUUUUUUNAAAAAAAAACAUUAAUUUAUGAUUUUAUGAUCCAUUNUUUAUGAUUAAAAGA
rnacentral:rRNA from 1 species